GACGUAGGGUGCGAGCGUUGUCCGGAUUUAUUGGGCGUAAAGAGCUCGUAGGCGGCUUGUCGCGUCGACCGUGAAAACUUGGGGCUCAACCCCAAGCCUGCGGUCGAUACGGGCAGGCUAGAGUUCGGUAGGGGAGACUGGAAUUCCUGGUGUAGCGGUGAAAUGCGCAGAUAUCAGGAGGAACACCGGUGGCGAAGGCGGGUCUCUGGGCCGACACUGACGCUGAGGCGCGAAAGCUAGGGGAGCAAACGGG
rnacentral:rRNA from 1 species